rnacentral:rRNA from 1 species
UACGUAGGGACCAAGCGUUGUUCGGAUUUACUGGGCGUAAAGGGCGCGUAGGCGGCGCGGUAAGUCACUUGUGAAAUCUCUGAGCUUAACUCAGAACGGCCAAGUGAUACUGCAGUGCUAGAGUGUGGAAGGGGCAAUCGGAAUUCUUGGUGUAGCGGUGAAAUGCGUAGAUAUCAGGAGGAAUACCGAUGGCGAAGGCAGGUCUCUGGGUCGAUACUGACGCUCAUGCACGAAAGCGUGGGGAGCAAACAGG